rnacentral:rRNA from 1 species
GACUAACGGCUGGCGGCGUGCCUAACACAUGCAAGUCGAACGAGUUGUUUAUAGUAGCAAUAUUGUAAAACGGCAAGUGGCGAACGGGUGAGUAACACGUAGAUAAUCUGCCUUUCAGACGGGGAUAACUCAGGGAAACUUGUGCUAAUACCCGAUGAGACUACGGGAGGGGACUUCUGUAGCCAAAGGUGGGGGCAACCUCGCGCUGAAAGAUGAGUCUGCGUCCUAUCAGCUAGUUGGUGGGGUAAAAGCCUACCAAGGCGAAGACGGGUAGCCGGCCUGAGAGGGUGAACGGCCACACUGGGACUGAGACACGGCCCAGACUCCUACGGGAGGCAGCAGUGAGGAAUUUUCCGCAAUGGGCGCAAGCCUGACGGAGCGACGCCGCGUGAGGGAUGACGGCCUUCGGGUUGUAAACCUCUUUUAUUAAGGAAAAAGGCAAUCGUGCUAAUACCACGGUUGUCUGAUGGUACUUAUUGAAUAAGCCCCGGCUAACUACGUG